rnacentral:rRNA from 1 species
UACAGAGGGUGCGAGCGUUAAUCGGAAUUACUGGGCGUAAAGCGCGCGUAGGCGGCUUUUCAAGUCGGAUGUGAAAUCCCCGGGCUUAACCUGGGAACUGCAUUCGAGACUGUCUAGCUAGAGUAUGGGAGAGGGAAGUGGAAUUUCAGGUGUAGCGGUGAAAUGCGUAGAUAUCAGAAAGAACACCAGUGGCGAAGGCGGUCCUCUGGUCCACUAUUGACGCUAAAGCACGAAAGCGUGGGGAGCAAACAGG